rnacentral:misc_RNA from 1 species
GAAAUGCGAAAAGCAAUGCGAAUUGCAGAAUUCCGCGAGUCAUCAGAUCUUCGAACGCACCUGGCGCCGACCGGAUCUCCGAUUGGCAUGCUUGUUUCAGUGUCUUGUUACGACUCACACAUCAAAAUGUGAUUGAUUGGGUAUCACUGAUACCUUAUCUCUCAUGAAGUGAGCGCUGGACCGACGACACCGAUGCAGUAGUCACUCUUGCAGUGAUACUCAUUGGUAAUCGACGGAGUACUCCUGCGAAAAUUCUAGUAACAUCACAACGCAUCUGAGGCAAGCAAGAUCACCCGCUGAACUUAA